rnacentral:tRNA from 2 species
CGGAACGUAGCGCAGCCCGGUUAGCGCGCCACUUUGGGGUAGUGGAGGCCGGCAGUUCAAAUCUGCCCGUUCCGA